UACGUAGGCAGCGAGCGUUGUUCGGAGUUACUGGGCGUAAAGGGUGUGUAGGCGGUUCUUAAGUUUGGUGUGAAAUCUCCCGGCUCACCGGGAGGGUGCGCCGAAUACUGAGGGACUUCGAGUGCGGGAGAGGAAAGUGGAAUUCCUGGUGUAGCGGUGAAAUGCGUAGAUAUCAGGAAGAACACCCGUGGCGGAAGGCGGUUCUCUGGGACGGUACUGACGCUGAGACGCGAAAGCGUGGGGAGCGAACAGG
rnacentral:rRNA from 1 species